CGAAGGGUGCAAGCGUUACUCGGAAUUACUGGGCGUAAAGCGUGCGUAGGUGGUUCGUUAAGUCUGUCGUGAAAGCCCGGGCUCAACCUGGGAAUGGCGAUGGAUACUGGCGGGCUAGAGUGCGGUAGAGGGUGGUGGAAUUCCCGGUGUAGCAGUGAAAUGCGUAGAGAUCGGGAGGAACAUCAGUUGCGAAGGCGGCCACCUGGACCAGCACUGACACUGAGGCACGAAAGCGUGGGGAGCAAACAGGAUUAGAUACCCUGGUAGUCCACGCCCUAAACGAUGCGAACUGGACGUUGGGAGCAACUAGGCUCUCAGUGUCGAAGCUAACGCGUUAAGUUCGCCGCCUGGGGAGUACGGUCGCAAGACUG
rnacentral:rRNA from 1 species